CAGCCGCCACGGGAAUACGAAGGGGGCUAGCGUUGCUCGGAAUUACUGGGCGUAAAGGGCGCGUAGGCGGACAGUUCAGUCGGGGGUGAAAGCCCGGGGCUCAACCUCGGAAUUGCCUUCGAUACUGGCUGUCUUGAGUAUGAGAGAGGUGUGUGGAACUCCGAGUGUAGAGGUGAAAUUCGUAGAUAUUCGGAAGAACACCAGUGGCGAAGGCGACACACUGGCUCAUUACUGACGCUGAGGCGCGAAAGCGUGGGGAGCAAACAGGAUUAGAUACCCCAGUAGUCCCUGUCUCUUAUAC
rnacentral:rRNA from 1 species